UUCAAUUUGCAGUGUAGAGGUCGAAUUAACAAUUUCAAUUUCUAGGGUUCUUGGAAUUUCUGGAAAUUUUUCACCGGCCAAAUUGGAGCUCUUCCAGGGCAAUGCCGCGAGCUACGGUUAAAUGAAGGAACUCGUUUGCGUGGUCGCCCAGUAGUACUUUUGCAGGCGAAAUUAGUUGAGGUCGGGCGUACAUGGAGUCGAGGCAUAGCCAAUAGCAUUGCUUCCGCGUACUCAUUCUAUUUCUGUUUUCUUUGUUACCUAGUGGAUUAGUAUUGCUCUGAUAACCUAUGGGAUUAAUAUUGCUUUUGGGUUGAGACUGAUAUUUGUGAAAUUGGAGUUGUGAUUUGGGGAGCAGAUGGCUCCAGAAGAUUAAGGAUGGAUGAUUUAGAAGUGUAAAUGUUUUCCUACAGAUUUUGGGUAGCCUACUUUUAGGGGAAGUUCCGCCAAAUUUUUGGUAGAAUUUCUUCUAAAGUGGGCCCCGCAGGGCCACUUCGGAUUUCAGGGUGAAAUCUGGGGCGGGUCCUGUCAAACCUAAUGCAAGAAGCCCAAACAAGAUAUGGCUUCAUUUUCAGGUGUACAUGUCCAUGUCUGAUGAAGCUAACACUGUCAACGGUCAUGCGGUCUCGCUCAUACAAAUAAGAAUAACGAUGUCUCUUCAAGCGAAGCUGAAGACACUAAAAUAUGUCGUAUGUUUUUGCAAAUAUGUGGGAACCAAUUCCAAAAAUUUCUAAAAAGACAAAAUGUCCAUGCCAAAACCAUCAUUUCCUACUAAAAAUGUUCAAUGAUGAGAUCAUGACAUGAGAGAAUAUCAAUAAAAAUAGCUAUUGACAAGCAUAUAUAUCUCCUUUUUAUUACAGUUGUAUAUAAGUUUUUGUUUUUGGCUUUUUUUCCUGGUGAACUGAA